rnacentral:tRNA from 1 species
GCGUUCGUGGUGUAGCGGUAACAUUGGGUCUUCCCAUGGCCUAGCUCCGGGUUCGACUCCCGGCGGAUGCA